GGUAGCAACGCUAGAAGAAAUUUGAGAUGACCAUUGAAUUGGGAAAGGGAAAAAAAGAAAUGAGAAGAGAGAGAGAUCAUGAGGAGAGAAGAGAAGAAAAAAUAAGAAAAUUAAGUUUAUGGUAAUUUAUUUACCAUAUUUUAAACUUUUUUUCCAAAAUUUACCAUAUUUUGUACAAUUAUUUUUUUUCCCAUAAAUUUAGAAACUACUUAUAUUUUUCUCAUAUUUAUUUAAACUUCUCUAAUUUCUACGAUAAGGUUUCACUUUAGGGAAAGUAAAUGAGACCUUCUGUCAAAAAAAAAAAAAAAACUUCCCUCUCUCUCUGAACGAAAAAUCAUCUACUCUGGCUGGUGUUCUUCCUGCCGGUGGUGACCUCGCCGCCAAUCUAAUCGCCGGAAGAUUCAGCUUUUGUUUCCUCCUUGUAACCUCUUCCUCAUCAUUGCUACUACUUUCUUAGUCAUCUAGCAUAUAAUGUUGAAUGGAUGUCAACAUAUUUUAUGAAGAUCUACUUUGAAAUUUGAAAGCAAAAGUACCUUGAGGGAGGCAUUGGAUAAUCAAUUAAAACCAUUUCAGGUCUGAUCAAAUUAAGGCAGUAGAAAUCCUUAGGAGUUUCUGCAUAAUCUUAGCAACAUCAGAUAGUCUUCGCUUGAUAUGCACAUAUGAAAGUUAAACUCUAUUGGCCUCAAGAGCUGCAUUGAGACUACUAAGCUUUUAGAAUAUCUUUAUGCUCUAAAUUUGAACUCUUGCCACCAAACAAAUUUUAGAUUCCAAAUUUACAAUUGGCUUAAUUGUAUUCAAAUGAUGUGAGCAGCUGCUGCCCUGUUUUCAUGAAACUUUGGUACUUUAAAUGAUUUAUUUUUUUCCAAUUCU